rnacentral:misc_RNA from 1 species
CGCAGCCGCGGUAAUUCCAGCUCCAAUAGCGUAUAUUAAAGUUGCUGCAGUUAAAAGCUCGUAGUUGAAUUUCGGGAUCAAUAUGUUGGUCGUGCCUCGGUACGUACUAGCUUAUUGGUUUCUUCCUUCUGACGAACCAUAAUGUCAUUUAUUUGGUGUUAUGGGGAAUCAGGACUGUUACUUUGAAAAAUUAGAGUGUUUAAAGCAGGCUCACGCUUGAAUACAUUAGCAUGGAAUAAUGAAAUAGGACGUUUGAUUCUAUUUUGUUGGUUUCUAGGAUCGACGUAAUGAUUAAUAGGGAUAGUUGGGGGCAUUAGUAUUCAAUUGUCAGAGGUGAAAUUCUUGGAUUUAUUGAAGACUAACUACUGCGAAAGCAUUUGCCAAGGAUGUUUUCAUUAAUCAAGAACGAAAGUUAGGGAUCGAAGACGAUCAGAUACCGUCGUAGUCUUAACCAUAAACUAUAGCCGACUAGGGAUCGGAUGAUGUUAAUUUUUAAUGUACUCAUUCGGCGCCUUAACC